UUGGGCCUAAAGCAUCCGUAGCUCGUUUUGUAAGUUUUCGGUUAAAUCCAUGCGCUUAACGUAUGGGCUGCCGGGAAUACUGCAUAACUAGGAAGUGGGAGAGGUAGACGGUACUCGGUAGGAAGGGGUAAAAUCCUUUGAUCUAUUGAUGACCACCUGUGGCGAAGGCGGUCUACCAGAACACGUUCGACGGUGAGGGAUGAAAGCUGGGGGAGCAAACCGGAUUAGAUACCCGGGUAGUCCCAGCUGUAAACGAUGCAGACUCGGUGAUGCAUUGGCUUGUGGCCAAUGCAGUGCCGCAGGGAAGCCGUUAAGUCUGCCGCCUGGGAAGUACGUACGCAAGUAUGAAACUUAAAGGAAUUGGCGGGGGAGCACAA
rnacentral:rRNA from 2 species